UCCCGGCGCCCAGAGCCGCGCCCUCCAGCAGAAUCCGGUGGGCGCGGGGCUUAGGCGGUUUUCCGGAAAAGCUCCGCGCUUUUGGCUCAGGAUCCGGCCGGGCUCGGCCACACCGCGGGCCCCGCAGCCGUAGGCCACACACCCAGCCUGCAGGGAAAAGCAGCUCCUGUCCGCUGCCCGAUGCCCGCGGCACCGCCGUCCGCCGUUCCUGGUCUCUCAGGGAGGCACCCCUACCCAGCCCGGCUCCUCCACCGGCUGCCCUUGGCCUCGGCCUCCUGGGCCUCCGUGACCUCUGACCCCUCUUGGUGCGAACAAGGCCAGACGUUUCUCCGCAGAGGCUGAGGGGCUGCGUGCGUUCGCCCUGCCUAGCUGCCUGGCCCGUAGAGAUGGAGGACAGGACAGGAGGAUGGCCUGGCCAAGGGAUGUGACUUGUGACCCAGUGCUUGGGGAGCAGCCCCAAGGGUGCAUCUGGAGUUGUGAUUUCGUUGGCGUUUCCUGGUGACCCUGCCCCAGACCUGUCCAGAGCCAGAGCCCCACCAGAGCUGCCCUGGGAUGGCCCGGAGGUGACAGAUGCCAGGGUCGGACACCAUCAGUGCCAGGCCUGGGAGGGGAAAGGGGGGCACAGGCUCUUCCCAAGGUGCGGAGCUUGCUGUGUGUCCCAGAGAAGUGUGCGCAAGUGGGGAGGCCCUGCUUGCCGCCAGGUUUCUCCUGCCUUCGGAACACGGCCGGCUCAGCUCCUAGGGAGCUUGACCCUGACUGUCUCCUCCUCUCGUUGGGAAGCCCCCGCCCACCCUGUAGCUCUCCCCAGAGCCCCACCAGCAGCCUUUCCUGCAGCACCAGUUAGGGCAGCGGCUUCAGGGUCCCUCCCGCAGAGCUGGAGUGUCCUGCCCGCUUCAGGCGAAAAC